GUCCCGGUGGUGUAGUGGUAAAAUACGUAUCCCCGGAUAGGAUGAAAUGCGGGUUCGAUUUCCGUCCGAGGCC